rnacentral:tRNA from 1 species
GCAGAUGUGGCGGAAUUGGCAGACGCGCUAGCUUCAGGUGCUAGUGGCAGCAAUGCCGUGUGGGUUCAAGUCCCGUCAUCUGCACCA